UAGAGUGAGGAAAAAGCAGAAUUUUUUAUAGGAAGAAAACUCAUUUUGUUAAUGGGCAUAUUUAGAUAUAAAAAGCUUUUUUUUUUUUUAACUAUCCAAGACUCUGAGAAAUGUCUGUAAGGAAAGUGUGUCACUAAGUUCUUCUGUCUGUGGAAGUAACAGGGACUUGGAAGAUCUCUGAAUCUGGAAACUCUGAAGAAUCCAGAAACUAGACGACCUAAUAACUGAGGUACUUUAAACUUGGCAAUAAAGAAAUAUUAAGGGGAAUAAAAAGGAGAGGAGAUCUCAGAAAACGUUGGAAGCUAGUCCUGGGUGAAGGACACAUUAAUCAUGAAUUACCUCAAGAGAGAAAACAGCCAAGUUUUUUAAGGUAAACUUUUACUGAAAUUUUCAGGUAAAUUUUUGUUUCAGGCAAAUUUGUGCUAAAUUGUUAUACCAACAACAAAGCAUAUAAAUCAUAAUUAUUUAGCUUUUUCUGUACAAUUGUAUGCAAAGUGAACACAGCCAUAUAAAAAGUACUCAGAUCAAGAUGCAGAACAUUACCAGCAACCCUGAAACCCACUCAUAUCCUUUCCCAGACACCGUCCUUCCAAAAAUAACUACUAUUCUGGUUCUAAGACAUAGAUUAAUAUUUUUCUGUUUCUUAAAGCACAAUGUAUAUACCCUUUUGGCUGGUUUCUUAUUGAUCUCAUUUUUGAAUUCAACCAUGUUAUUGCUUGAAGCAAUAAUUUGUUUGUUCUAAUGAUGUGCAGUAUUUUGUCAUAUGAAUAAAACAAAGAGUAUUUGGUUUGUUUCUCCUUUGAGGUUUUCAUAAAUAAGGAUGUCAUAACAUGAUUAAACAUGUCUUUCUAUUGGGCAUGCACCUAGAACUGCUAUUGUUAGGUCAAAUGGUAGGCAUAUAUUCGACUUGGCAGAUGCUGCCAAAUAGUUUUCCUAAGUGAUGUUUUCCAAUUUACACUCCCAUCAAUAGUGUAUGAGAAUUCCAUCUCUUUCAAAACCUUGCCAACACUUGGUGUUGACUGUCUUUUUCAUUUCAGGCAUUCUGCUGGGAAUAUAUAAAUAUCACAUUGUAAUUUAAUUUGAAUUUAUCUAAUAACUAAUUAAUUCAAGAAUCUUGUCAUGUGUUUAUUUGCUGUACAGACUAGUAUUCUGAGAGUCUGAACAAAUUCAAAUCAUAUCCAUAUGGCUUCUUAGCAUUAGUGCUCAAACUGUCGUUUUGUAGGACUGGGACUUUAGUAGAAGAUCUGAGUCUAUAUGCCAUUGGGAAUAAAAUAAUGAAGCAAAAACAUUCCUCCUACACCCCUCCAAUAUCACCAUGCCUAUCCUCAAUGCUUGCAAAAGUAGAUCAGCUUAGGGUGAGGGAUGAUUGGGUAGGUAUAAAAGAGAUGUCUAAUGGAGCUAAAGAUACAAAAUGUCAUGGCAUGCAUGAUUUUUCCAUUGUGGAACAUAUAUUUAACCUAAAAAAUGUCAAUCAGUCUAACAAACCAAAAAAGGAACAUCGAUCACAUCAUAGUAUAGAGCACCCAUGGUGAAGACUGAGAAUCAGAUGAGGCAGCACACAAGCAUUCCCUGCAUUCUGUGGUCCACAUUGCAGGAAACAAUCCUCCCGUACCACCACCACUCCCCGUCCCCACACACUGUCCAUUAGGUAUCAGCUAACAAAGACUGUGGUAAAGGAAACUCGAAGCCAAUGUAUAAGCAAAUACUCAGGAUUUUCUGAAAAUAGCAAGGGCCUUAAAACAAGAAAACACCAACACCAAAGGUCAGCAAGAGAUAAUAGUAGCAAAAGCCAUACAAAAAAGAAAUAGAAACUAUUAUCAUGGCCACAUUAAUUCUAGUUCCUCCUAAUAUACUGAGCAGGGAGGGUCUAGAAAACUAUAUUAGAGUAGAAUCUCAUAAGACUUAAAAAGGGUCUUAAGCAUGAGAGGAACAGAAUGGCAGAGGGAAAAAAGACUUGAAGGGAUUGUAUUCUUUACACAAAUUAUCUUUGAUCUAAUUUUAAAUAUAGGUAAAUUUCUCAAAUGGCCCAAGUGAAGAUGUUUUUAAGACACAGUAAAUUAAGGAAAGGCAAAAGGGAAGAAAGCCAACUGGGACAGGUAAUUUGGAAAGUGAAGAAGACAGAACUAAUAAGCCAACAUGUAUUGAACAUCUUUUGUGUUCUGAGAUAGGGAGUGAAGCACCCAUCUGAAAGCAAGUGUGUGAACUGUGGGAGAAAAAUCAGCCCAGGAGCAAUGAUUUCACACAUCAGUCCUUGGAGGUAUGUUGUACCCAAUGAGGACACAAUCAUGGUGUCAUGCAAAUGUUGCCACUAUGUACUCUGUCCUUAAUCUUUGUCAAUUCAGUCUUUUCUAAGGAUUCGAAAUAACAGUGUAACUCCCAUUCCUCCAUCCUGUCCCUGG
rnacentral:lncRNA from 1 species